rnacentral:rRNA from 1 species
UACAGGGGGGCAAGCGUUGUUCGGAAUUACUGGGCGUAAAGGGCUCGUAGGCGGCCAACUAAGUCCGACGUGAAAUCCCAAAGCUUAACUUUGGAACUGCGUCGGAUACUGGAUGGCUUGAAUUCGGGAGAGGGAUGCAGAAUUCCAGGUGUAGCGGUGGAAAUGCGUAGAUAUCUGGAGGAAUACCGGUGGCGAAGGCGGCAUCCUGGACCGACAUUGACGCUGAGGAGCGAAAGCUAGGGGAGCAAAGCGGG